GAGCAUACUCCCGGGAAACUGGGGCUAAUCCUCCAUAGUGGAUUAUCCUGGAAUGGUAUAUCCUCGAAAGAUCCGUCGCCUUAGGAUGGACUGCGUCCGAUUAGGUUGUUGGCGGGUAACGGCCCACCAAGCCAUUGAUCGGUACGGGUUGUGGGAGCAAGAUCCCGGAGAUGGAUUCUGAGACAUGAAUCCAGGCCUACGGGGCGCAGCAGGCGCGCAAACUUUACAAUGCGAGCAAUCGUGAUAAGGAAACCCUGAGUGCCUGUCGAUGCAGGCUGUUCAUAUAUCUAAAUCAUAUGUGAAGAAAGGGCAGGGCAAGACCGGUGCCAGCCGCCGCGGUAAUACCGGCUGCUCGAGUGAUGGCCACUAUUACUGGGUUUAAAGCGUCCGUAGCUUGACUGUUAGGUCUCUUGGGAAAUCUUCGCGCUCAACGUGAAGGCGUCUAAGAGAUACCGGCAGUCUUGGAACUGGGAGAGGUAAACCGUACUUCGGGGGUAGGAGUGAAAUCUUGUAAUCCUCGAGGGACGACCUAUGGCGAAGGCAGUUUACCAGAACAGCUUCGACAGUGAGGGACGAAAGCU
rnacentral:rRNA from 1 species